rnacentral:rRNA from 1 species
UGGUGGAGUGAUUUGUCUGCUUAAUUGCGAUAACGAACGAGACCUUAACCUGCUAAAUAGUUACGCGAUCCACCGCGAUCGUGGCCAACUUCUUAGAGGGACUUUUGCGUGUUUUAACCAAAGGAAGUUCGAGGCAAUAACA